GAUGAAGAACGUAGCGAAAUGCGAUAAGUAGUGUGAAUUGCGGAAUUCAGUGAAUCAUCGAAUCUUUGAACGCACAUUGCGCCCUUUGGUAUUCCUUAGGGCAUGCCUGUUCGAGCGUCAUUUAAACCUUCAAGCUCAGCUUGGUGUUGGGUGACUGUCCGCUUCACCGCGGACUCGCCUCAAAAUUAUUGGCGGCCGGUACAUUGGCUUCGAGCGCAGCAGAAACGCGAACUCGGGCCCGUCGUAUUGGCUCCCAGAAGCUAUCUUCACAAUUUUGACCUCGGAUCAGGUAGGGAUACCCGCUGAACUUAAGCAUAUCAAUAAGCGGAGGA
rnacentral:misc_RNA from 1 species